CCUCUUGAAGAUGAAGAGAUUAUUACUUAUAUGCUUGCUGGUCUUGAUUCUAAGUUUGAGCCUCUUGUAACUUCAGUCACCACACGGAUAGAUCCUUUCUCUCUGAAUGAUCUCUUUGCGCAUCUUCUGAGUUAUGAGA